GACGUAGGAGGCGAGCGUUGUCCGGAUUCAUUGGGCGUAAAGAGCACGCAGGCGGUUUGGCAAGUCGGAUGUGAAAGCCCUUGGCUCAACUGAGGAAGUGCACCCGAAACUGAGUGGCUUGAGUACGAAAGAGGGUCGCGGAAUUCCCGGUGUAGAGGUGAAAUUCGUAGAUAUCGGGAGGAACACCGGUGGCGAAGGCGGCGACCUGGGUCGAUACUGACGCUGAUGCGCGAAAGCGUGGGGAACAAACAGG
rnacentral:rRNA from 1 species